rnacentral:rRNA from 1 species
AACGAACGCUGGCGGCAGGCCUAACACAUGCAAGUCGAACGCGACCUUCGGGUCGAGUGGCGCACGGGUGAGUAACGCGUGGGAAUCUGCCCUGUGGUACGGAAUAACAUCGGGAAACUGGUGCUAAUACCGUAUAUCCCCUGAGGGGAAAGGAUUUAUCGCCAUAGGAGGAGCCCGCGUAGGAUUAGCUAGUUGGUGGGGUAACGGCCUACCAAGGCGGACGAUCCUUAGCUGGUCUGAGAGGAUGAUCAGCCACACUGGGAC